rnacentral:misc_RNA from 1 species
UUUCCGUAGGUGAACCUGCGGAAGGAUCAUUAUUGUAUAACCGAGGUGCGAGGGCUGUCGCUGACCCGAAAGGUCGUGCACGCCCGAGUGCCCUCACACACCCCCAUCUCACCCCUAUGUGCACCACCGCGUGGGUCCCCCUUUGGCUUGUUCGGAGGGGGGCUUACGUUUUCACACAAACUUUGUAUGCAGUGUAGAAUGUAUUUUUUGUUUUUGCGAUCACGCAAUCAAUACAACUUUCAACAACGGAUCUCUUGGCUCUC